rnacentral:rRNA from 1 species
UACGUAGGUGGCAAGCGUUGUCCGGAUUUACUGGGCGUAAAGAGCGCGCAGGCGGUCGAUCAAGUCGAGUGUGAAAGCCCCCGGCUCAACUGGGGAGGGUCAUUCGAUACUGAUCGACUCGAAGGCAGGAGAGGGUAGUGGAAUUCCCGGUGUAGUGGUGAAAUGCGUAGAUAUCGGGAGGAACACCAGUGGCGAAGGCGACUACCUGGCCUGUUCCUGACGCUGAGGCGCGAAAGCUAGGGGAGCAAACGGG